rnacentral:rRNA from 1 species
UGCAAGUCGAACGGUGAAGCAGAGCUUGCUCUGUGGAUCAGUGGCGAACGGGUGAGUAACACGUGAGCAAUCUGCCCCUGACUCUGGGAUAAGCGCUGGAAACGGCGUCUAAUACCGGAUACGAGCUGCGAAGGCAUCUUCAGCAGUUGGAAAGAAUUUCGGUCAGGGAUGAGCUCGCGGCCUAUCAGCUUGUUGGUGAGGUAAUGGCUCACCAAGGCGUCGACGGGUAGCCGGCCUGAGAGGGUGACCGGCCACACUGGGACUGAGACACGGCCCAGACUCCUACGGGAGGCAGCAGUGGGGAAUAUUGCACAAUGGGCGCAAGCCUGAUGCAGCAACGCCGCGUGAGGGAUGACGGCCUUCGGGUUGUAAACCUCUUUUAGCAAGGAAGAAGCGAAAGUGACGGUACUUGCAGAAAAAGCGCCGGCUAACUACGUGCCAGCAGCCGCGGUAAUACGUAGGGCGCAAGCGUUAUCCGGAAUUAUUGGGCGUAAAGAGCUCGUAGGCGGUUUGUCGCGUCUGCUGUGAAAACUGGAGGCUCAACCUCCAGCCUGCAGUGGGUACGGGCAGACUAGAGUGCGGUAGGGGAGAUUGGAAUUCCUGGUGUAGCGGUGGAAUGCGCAGAUAUCAGGAGGAACACCGAUGGCGAAGGCAGAUCUCUGGGCCGUAACUGACGCUGAGGAGCGAAAGGGUGGGGAGCAAACAGGCUUAGAUACCCUGGUAGUCCACCCCGUAAACGUUGGGAACUAGUUGUGGGGUCCAUUCCACGGAUUCCGUGACGCAGCUAACGCAUUAAGUUCCCCGCCUGGGGAGUACGGCCGCAAGGCUAAAACUCAAAGGAAUUGACGGGGACCCGCACAAGCGGCGGAGCAUGCGGAUUAAUUC